UACGGGGGGGGGGCAAGCGUUGUUCGGAAUUACUGGGCGUAAAGGGCUCGUAGGUGGCCAACUAAGUCAGACGUGAAAUCCCUCGGCUUAACCGGGGAACUGCGUCUGAUACUGGAUGGCUUGAGUUCGGGAGAGGGAUGCGGAAUUCCAGGUGUAGCGGUGAAAUGCGUAGAUAUCUGGAGGAACACCGGUGGCGAAGGCGGGUCUCUGGGCCGAUACUGACGCUGAGGAGCGAAAGCGUGGGGAGCGAACAGG
rnacentral:rRNA from 1 species